AUAUCAGUAAGCGGAGGAAGAGAAACUAACAAGGAUUCCCCUAGUAACGGCGAGUGAAGAGGGAACAGCUCAAAAUUGGAAUCUGGCUGGAAGCAGCCUGAAUUGUAGUCUGGAGAGGUGCAGUCGAGUGCAGUGGCGGCGCCCAAGUCCCCUGGAAUGGGGCAUCGCAGAGGGUGAGAAUCCCGUGGGGCGCCGAUGGCUGCAUUUGCACGAUGCAUGCUCGAAGAGUCGAGUUGUUUGGGAAUGCAGCUCAAAGCGGGUGGUAAACCCCAUCCAAGGCUAAAUAUGGGCAAGAGACCGAUAGCGAACAAGUACCGUGAGGGAAAGAUGAAAAGCACCUUGAAAAGGGAGUUAAAUAGCGCGUGAAAUUGUUAAAAGGGAAACGAUUGGAGCCAGCAUUGCGGUGGUGGUGUGGCAUGGGGAGAGUAGAUGCAAGAGCGCGAGCCUUGCUGCUGCGGGAGCUGUGCGAUGCGCCGCUGCGAGUCAGGGCCGCUUUGGGGUGCUGUAGAAGAGGCAGGGAAUGUGUCUACGCUUUUGUGGAUUUAUAGCCCUGCUGGAUGUGGUGCUCUGGAGGUGGUGGGGUGCAUGGU
rnacentral:rRNA from 1 species